rnacentral:ncRNA from 19 species
AAUUGAAUAGGCGAUGACGGUCGCCAUUAAACGAGCAAAAUCUAAUGACGUCUACUAUUUA